rnacentral:tRNA from 1 species
GGGGAAUUAGCUCAAAUUGUAGAGCACUUGCUUAGCAUGCAACAGGUAGCGGGAUCGAUUCCCGCAUUCUCCA